UACGUAGGGGGCAAGCGUUGUCCGGAUUUAUUGGGCGUAAAGAGCGUGUAGGCGGCCAGACAGGUCCGUUGUGAAAACUCGAGGCUCAACCUCGAGACGCCGAUGGAAACCGUCUGGCUAGAGUCCGGAAGAGGAGAGUGGAAUUCCUGGUGUAGCGGUGAAAUGCGCAGAUAUCAGGAGGAACACCGGUGGCGAAGGCGGAUCUCUGGGCCGAUACUGACGCUGAGGAGCGAAAGCGUGGGGAGCGAACAGG
rnacentral:rRNA from 1 species